ACUGGGUGCAGUGGCACGUGCCUGUAGUCCCGGCUACUCGGGAGGCUGAGGCUGGAGGAUCGCGUGAGCCCAGGAGUUCUGGGCUGUAGUGCGCUAUGCUGAUCUGGUGUCCAAACUAAGUUCGGCGUCAAUAUGGUGACCUCCUGGGAGCAGGGGCCAACCAGGUGCCUAAGGAGGGGUGAACCGGCCCAGGUCGGACAUGGAACAGGUCAAAACUCCCGUGCUGAUCAGUAGCGGGAUCGCAUCUGUGAAUAGCCACUGCACUUCAGCCUGGGCAACAUAGCGAGACCCCAUAUCU
rnacentral:SRP_RNA from 1 species